ACUGAUUUGCCCCUGAACUGAGCCUUGAGGCUUCAUGCCUGGUACCGCACUCUUGCAGGCCGCUCUACCAACACUAAACCAAUAUCAGGGCAAAU
rnacentral:ncRNA from 18 species